rnacentral:rRNA from 1 species
GAUGAACGCUGGCGGCGUGCCUAAUACAUGCAAGUCGAGCGAACAGACGAGGAGCUUGCUCCUCUGACGUUAGCGGCGGACGGGUGAGUAGCACGUGGAUAACCUACCUAUAAGACUGGGAUAACUUCGGGAAACCGGAGCUAAUACCGGAUAAUAUAUUGAACCGCAUGGUUCAAUAGUGAAAGACGGUUUUGCUGUCACUUAUAGAUGGAUCCGCGCCGCAUUAGCUAGUUGGUAAGGUAACGGCUUACCAAGGCGACGAUGCGUAGCCGACCUGAGAGGGUGAUCGGCCACACUGGAACUGAGACACGGUCCAGACUCCUACGGGAGGCAGCAGUAGGGAAUCUUCCGCAAUGGGCGAAAGCCUGACGGAGCAACGCCGCGUGAGUGAUGAAGGUCUUCGGAUCGUAAAACUCUGUUAUUAGGGAAGAACAAAUGUGUAAGUAACUAUGCACGUCUUGACGGUACCUAAUCAGAAAGCCACGGCUAACUACGUG